UUUUUCUUUCCGUGGCAAUUUUGGGGAGAAAUAUAACUUUGUAACUUUUUUCUUUUUCUUUUGGUCAAACCACAAACUUCUACGGAGAACUGCACCCACAGAUCUCCACGUUGGAAAGCAAGGAUAGCGUCCCUGAAUAGCUACAGGAGCAGAAGAUUAUUGGAAUGAGAGAAGGGUUUUCUGAACCUGUGAAUGAUGAGUAUUUUAUGGCUUUUUGUUAUUGGUUCUGGUGUCAGCACCCAGAGACUUUCCUAUAGGAGUCGAGAGGAUGGAGUGGGGAGACCCUCUUGUGAGUUAACUGCACAACUGCUCACAACAAUCCCAUCAUAAUAAAGCUGCAUUUUAAGCAUAGUCAAUGGCAAAACUACCGGGGUUGUGAUCACACCAAGGCCUGCACCCUCAACUGGGUCUGACAGAUGCGCUGACAGGAAAUCUGGCUCUAAACUUCAUUCAGAAAGGUGUGCUCUAAGAAGGAUCAAUACUGUAACCCACUUUAAAAUUUCCCAUUAUGCUAAAGUGAUGAAAAUGACAUGGAAUAAACAUUUACUUGUGAUCAGAGGUCUGUAUUGAGAUUAAACAGCCCUUUUAAAGAGCAGCCUUCUUCUACACUAACGUUUUAUAAAAUUUCAGGAACAGGAGAUGAUUUUUUAAUUGGCUGUCAUUUAUAGUUUUACAUUUUUUAAAAAUAUCUUACUCUUUUCAGCUUUCCAAUGGGGCUGGCUGACUCCAUCUAAAGAACAAAUGCUCUGUAAGGCUACACCUUUAUUUCUGUGUUUUUGUAUUACUU